AUGGUCGUCGAUGCCCUAGCUGCUAUCCUCGACAAGGCAAAGGCCACGUGCCAUAUCCGCGGAAUUAUUCCUCACCUUGUCGGAGGCAAUGGCGUCUCGAUGCUGCAGUAUGCGGACGGCACCAUCAUUAUGGUGGAAGGGUCGUCGAAUGACAUCAUGAACCUCAAGUUCCUCCUAUUGUGCUUCCAGCAGCUGUCGGGCCUCAAGAUCAACUUUGACAAAAGUCAAGUCACGGUGCUGGGGUACUCAUAUGAGGAUAGCCAGAGCAUUGCCGAUUGACUUAAUUGUCCAUUAGGGUCAUUCCCCACCACCUACUUAGGGAUUCCCAUCAGUGACUCUCGGUUGUCCGUUGCGGAUUUGCGACCCUCGGUGCUUAAGCUCCAACAUCGCAUUGAACCAUGGCAGGGUAGAUGGCUCUCUAAGGCGGCUCAGACGAUUCUUAUCAACUCCUCCCUAUCCAGCCUCCUUCUGUUUAUCAUGAGCUUCUACAGCCUGCCUGAGACUCUUCACCACGAGAUUGGGACGAUCCAGGCGCGCUACUUUUGGGAAGGCGAGGGGUACAAGCAGAAAUACCACAUGGUAUGA
rnacentral:rRNA from 1 species